UACGGGGGGGGCAAGCGUUGUUCGGAAUUACUGGGCGUAAAGGGCGCGUAGGCGGCCUACUAAGUCGGACGUGAAAUCCCUCGGCUCAACCGAGGAACUGCGUCCGAUAUUGGCAGGCUGGAAUCCGGGAGAGGGAUGUGGAAUUCCAGGUGUAGCGGUGAAAUGCGUAGAUAUCUGGAGGAACACCGGUGGCGAAGGCGGCAUCCUGGACCGGUAUUGACGCUGAGGCGCGAAAGCUAGGGGAGCAAACGGG
rnacentral:rRNA from 1 species